rnacentral:misc_RNA from 1 species
GAUGAAGAACGCAGCGAAAUGCGAUAAGUAAUGUGAAUUGCAGAAUUCAGUGAAUCAUCGAAUCUUUGAACGCACAUUGCGCCCGUCAGUAUUCUGGCGGGCAUGCCUGUUCGAGCGUCAUUACGCCCCUCAAGUCCCCUGUGGACUUGGUGUUGGGGAUCGGCGAGGCUGGUUUUCCAGCACAGCCGUCCCUUAAAUUUAUUGGCGGUCUCGCCGUGGCCCUCCUCUGCGCAGUAGUAAAACACUCGCAACAGGAGCCCGGCGCGGUCCACUGCCGUAAAACCCCCCAACUUUUUAUAGUUGACCUCGAAUCAGGUAGGACUACCCGCUGAACUUAAGCAUAUCAAUAAGCGGAGGA